rnacentral:rRNA from 1 species
GACGAACGCUGGCGGCGUGCUUAACACAUGCAAGUCGAACGGGUCUGCCCUGUUUUUUGCGGGGUGGGUCAGUGGCGAACGGGUGAGUAACACGUGAGUAACCUGCCCCUCACUUCUGGAUAACCGCUUGAAAGGGUGGCUAAUACGGGGUGUUCUGGCUGUGCCGCAUGGUGUGGCUGGGAAAGAUUCACUUUUGUGGUGUUUUGGUGGGGGAUGGGCUCGCGGCCUAUCAGCUUGUUGGUGGGGUGAUGGCCUGCCAAGGCUUUGACGGGUAGCCGGCCUGGGAGGGUGGGCGGUCACACUGGGACUGAGAUACGGCCCAGACUCCUGCGGGAGGCGGCAGUGGGGGGUAUUGCACAAUGGGCGGAAGCCUGAUGCAGCGACGUCGCGUGAGGGAUGGAGGCCUUCGGGUUGUGAACCUCUUUCGCCGGUGAAGAAGGUCCUGCUCUUUGUGGUGGGGUUGACGGUAGCCGGGUUAUGAAGCGCCGGCUAACUACGUG